UUAACCAGUAGUUUACAUCAGUCACCAGAAAGAACAUCCAAAAAAAACCAAAAACAAAAACAAAAAAAAAAAAAGAAAACCUGCAGAAAAAUAAUUCUCUGUCCAGGCCGGGGCCUGGAGCGACACACCUGGAAUGCGACGGGCACACACAGCGCGGUUGUGCAAAGGCAGCACGGCGAGGGGCGAGGCCCCUGGAGAGCACAUCACAGAGCUGGGGGGGCACGGGCCCUUGGGGGCACGGUGGGGACAGGCACGGUGCCACCGAGGGGGGGACAGGCACGGUGCCACCGAGGGGGGGACAGGGACGGUGCCACCAAGGGGGGGACAGGCACGGUGCCACCGAGGGGGGGACAGGCACGGUGCCACCGAGGGGGGGACAGGGAUGGUGCCACCAAGGGGGGGACAGGCACGGGGGACACGGGGGGGGACUGGCACGGUGCCACCGGGGCGGCGGGCACGGGCCCGCGGGGAUGCGGAGAGGGACAGGGACGGUGCCUGCGGGCACGGGGCAUUGCCGGCCGGGCUCUGCUGCCCCCGGCCCCGGCAGGCGCGGAGCCCAGCCGGGCUCUGCUCAUUGAGGGAGGCACAAAGUCCCGGCCCUGAUCCCGCAGCUUCCCAAACAUCCUUCGGCGGGGCCGGGCAGGAAACGGGCGCGGAACGGGCACGGGCAGGGAACGGGCAGGGAACGGGCAGGGACUGGGAAGGGAAUGGGCACAGACUGGGCAGGAACUGGCUCUGACUGGCCCCGAGGGGCACCCGCUGGAGCCCGAGGUUGGCUUUUCCAGUGGUCUGGGGGUGAGCAUCGCUUGUGCCAGCACCAGGACGGGCUGGGCAGUGCCAGGACCGGCUGGGCAGUGCCAGACCUGACUGGGCAGUGCCAGGAUGGGCUGGGCAGUGCCAGGAAUGGCUGGACAGUGCCAGGACGGGCUGGGCAGUGCCAGGACGGACUGGGCAGUGCCAGAUCUGAGUGGGCAGUGCCAGGACGGGCUGGGCACUGCCAGACCUGACUGGACAGUGCCAGGAGCAGCUGGGCAGUGCCAGGAUGGGCUGGGCAGUGCCAGGAAUGGCUGGGCAGUGCCAGGAGCAGCUGGGCAGUGCCAGACCUGACUGGACAGUGCCAGGAGCAGCUGGGCAGUGCUAGGAUGGGCUGGGCAGUGCCAGGAAUGGCUGGACAGUGCCAGGACGGGCUGGGCAGUGCCAGGAAUGGCUGGGCAGUGCCAGACCUGACUGGACAGUGCCAGGAUGGGCUGGACAGUGCCAGGAUGUGCUGGGCAGUGCCAGGAAUGGCUGGGCAGUGCCAGGAGCAGCUGGGCAGUGCCAGGCCUGGCUGGGAGAGCUGGGGCAGAGGUUUGGGGUGCUCAGGGCUGGGCACAGAAGGCACAGACUGGUUCCUGUGUGUCACUUUCCAGGCUGGAGUGGCACGAGGGAUGUGGAAUUUUGCACAGCUCGGAGCCCGUGGCCAAAUUGGCGGCGUUGGGAUUGUGCAAGACCCCCCAGGAGCCCUGGAAUGGGGCAGUGGGUAAAUAAUUGCAGCAAAAAUAUCAUUGCACUGGCACAAAGGGGUCUCGGCUGGAGCCCCCGCCCCACAGACUGGGUCCUGCGGUUCCCUCCCCAUGCAGGGGGACACGAGGGUCACCAGCGGCACCACUUGUCAUCUGCGGAGCCACUCGCUGGUGGCAGGAGGAACUUUUAAGAGCUGGGGCAGAAAUUAAGGUGGAAGUGGUUGGUUUG
rnacentral:lncRNA from 1 species